UCACCCCGAAAGAUUAACAUUCUUGAGCAGCGGGAUUUAAUGGUUUCUGGGGAAAUCUUUGAUGUGCAGCGGAAAGUCUAUUUCCCAGCGCGGUAGGUGCAACUAUUAAAGUGCAAUCAGCUCAACUGGCUGCCCAAAACACGAAACUAAUUAUAAUUAAUUUCAGAAAAGCCAUGCUAUGUUGAUUGUUUUAUAUUUAAUUAUAUUAAAUAUUUAAAUUCCAAGUUACUGUCAUGUAAAAUGUGAGAAUAUCUGAUUCCUGCCACUCCUCCACAGCACCCACACUUUCUAGGAUAUUUCGUGGCCUUAAGCACGCACCAUAAUUCACGGGAAUUAGCUCAGACAUGCCAUUGUCGCCCGGCUUGAUAGCUGCUCGUCGGGACCGGGAUCUUGGAACACCCAGGGGACUGGGCUCCGGGCACUUGGCACUCCGGCUCUCGAGGAUUUUGGCACCUGCCGCUUUGGCAGAUGCCUGGGAUUAGGACUCGGUCACGUUGAUGAUGACCCACCCAUUGUGUGAUGCACUUUUCGCAGUUGUUGGCGUCAGCAAGUGGGCCUGCUGGAUGAUUGAUGGACCCUGCCAGGGCAUACCAGUUGGAGAGCUGCGGGCACGCAUUAUAAUCCUCUGAACUCACCUGCCCAACUGUCCACCCUUACUCCUGGCCUGCAGUAUCACGAUGAUGAUGACGACGACGUGGCCGAAGUGGCAGAGGCAGAGGUGUUGCCCACUUGCACUUAAUUGCAUGUUUGGUCAGGCGAAUCAACGCCCAGGCCAGAAAACCGCCAAAGUCAAAGCCGAAAACGCCCCUGGAAUGUGCAGCCCACUAUUGCCUCUUCAGAUAACUUUCCGCUCAUCUGCACUGCACAAAAUUCUAUUUCAGUUGGUCUGGCAGCGAAGGAAUAUUUAUGGAGUGCAGACAAGAUGUAAAACCCAUUUCUAACAUGUCUCUUAAUUUGUCUCUUGAAACAUUACAUAUAAAAUUGGAUUACUGUGUGGUAUCCCCAUUUGUUCUCAGUGUGGUGAGGCGCCCCGCUGAGUGGCGAUGGUGGCUGGCGGGGAAAUUUAUGUGGCCAGUUGGCCACGGCUAGAAGAACUUUGUGUGCACGGGAAGGCGCUCGGUAAGGAGAAGGGGACGAUGGUAUUGCUGUUAUUGCUCCGCUCCUGCUGUUGCUGCAUAAUUGAUAAAUGUUUACAAAUUAUUAUGUUGCACAUACAGCAGUGGCAGCAGCAGCAGUACCAUCGCCAUGGAAUGGCCACCCAGGCGAGGAUGCCCCACCCAAUCCCCACCAAUCCCCAUUUACACAGCGGACCUCGUGUGGGGAUUUUCUUGUGCCUUGGAACCUGGUGAAAGCCGGCGAAUUGGCGUUAUACUUUAUUAAUUUUAAAUACCCUAACCUGUUAGCCUGACAACGAUUUGAAAUAGGCAACCACAAGUAAUGGUAACUUUUCCAUUAACAUAAAAAAUAAUAUAAAACAUAUCAUAAAUAUAUCUUUGAAGUAUAUUACUUGAUUAAGUCUUUUAUAUAUUUUUUAACAAAACUCUUUAAAUUCGUACAUAUAUUUUACUUCCUCCUAUAAAGGCUAUCUAUAAUUUUAAUAUUUUAAAGAGUAUUACCGAUUUCAAUGCUACGCCGUGACUUUCUCCCUUUCUGUUCUUUAGCUUUUAUUUUUGCUUCAGCUCCAGCCGUGUUGCCGUUUUUCUCACGGCGAGGCGCCAACUGCAUUUUCAUUUAAUGUUUGCUGCAGCCGCUAAUUAAAAUGAAUCCACGUAGACAGGCGGGCUGAAUAUUAAAGCCCAUAGGUAGAAGAGGAGUCUCUUCCAUUAGCCGCGACGGGCAUUGUGUAAUGGAUAGGGGGCCGUAUUUAUAGCCAAAUCAAAUCGCUGGCAAAAUCAUUUUCCACCGAAGGACGGCGCUGCCACAUUGCCCUUGGCAUUAGCUUUGUUUUACUCCGCCACACUUUUUUGUAUUCCGAUUCACAUUUACCGCAUUCAAUUUGCCUAAGUUGCCAUUCGGAUUGCGAAGGGGAAUUGCAGGGACAGCAGCUGCCGAAAGAAAUGAAAUCGAAUUCAAUACAAAAUGCAAAUGAGGCAUCGGUAUGGAGAUUGGGAACCGCAAACGAGGAUUGGCAUGAGAAAUGAGACGCCAUUGAAAUCAUAAAAAUCAAAUUUGAAAUUGAUAGGAAGCCAGCACAGCGGAGGAGAAAUAACUCAAUCUGAAAUCGAAACCAGGUCGAGAACAAAGUCAUCCCCUAAUUGAGAUGAGCUCCUGCGAGGAUGGGUACUGAUACGAUUGAGAUAUUCGUACAAUCUGACAGACACUUCCGGGUAAUUAUUGAAAAUAGUUUGCCCACCAACAAUGCCGAUCUAUGACACUUUUCCAGCGUUUUUCCGGGGCACAACUUUUCAUUGCCCUAAACCGCUUAGCUCGCAAAUGACGAGGGGAAAAGCAAAUUGACUCGAGAUAAAACUGCCACGGCCCAAGGCCGAAAACCCAAAACAAACCCUAACCAAAAAACACAGAAAAGGGUACCUAACCCCAGUUAGAGAGCAACGCUAUUUCCGGUUGCCCCCCGGGGGUCAAAGACAGGGAUAGACGACAACAGAGUGAGACAGAUUGCUGGACGGCGAAAGGAAAGGGGCCACAUCCAGUCAGCAUUCAAAUAUUUGUCAUCAUCAAAUGACAUCUGUUUGUCGUUGGCUUUUGUUUUGAAGGCCGUCCAAAAGUUCGUGUAGUCAAAGGUCAGUGUCUGGCAUAUGAAAAAGGUGCGUUUCAGCAGUGUAGGCUGGUUACACAUACACGUUGGAAUGUCAUGGUAUAUUUGAGGAACUCAUUUGUGUUUUCAUUACUAACACUACUCAAUGCGUAACCAUUAUGCGAAAAGAAAAACUAGACACAAGCAAAUCGCAAAUCGAAACGUCUUUUAAAAAUUAUAAAUAAAUGCUUGAUGUUUAAAAAUCGCUUUUGCCGAUAAGAAUUUAAAAUUUAACAUGACAAGGAACCUUGAUGUGAAUUUAAGAGUUCACUCUUGUAGAAGAAAUAAGAGGCAAAUCGUUGUCAGCGCAACGAAGAAUUUGCAUAAAUCUCACGCUUGAUCUGCCACGCCCCUUCUCCUUUCCAGAGGCAGAGUUAGAAAGGUGAAAGGUGAGCGGAGAUAAAAUAGAUAUGGGUAGAUAUGCAGACUUUAACGAGCUGCCACGUUCCCCAGAAGCUGCAACAAUUUUCAAUGGAAAAUGCAGCGGCUGAAAAUGUAAAUAGCUAACAAGAAAAUACAUUAAAAGCCAGCUGAACCGAGCCGAAAGUGCAGCAGCGCACCGAGAUUUUCCAAUUCCCCAAAUAAAUACCAGAAGACCCAA